GACCUCGGAUCAGGUAGGGAUACCCGCUGAACUUAAGCAUAUCAAUAAGCGGAGGAAAAGAAACCAACAGGGAUUACCUCAGUAACGGCGAGUGAAGCGGCAACAGCUCAAAUUUGAAAUCUGGCUCUUUCAGGGUCCGAGUUGUAAUCUGUAGAAGAUGCUUCGGGUGUGGCUCCGGUCUAAGUUCCUUGGAACAGGACGUCAUAGAGGGUGAGAAUCCCGUAUGUGACUGGUUGCCUUCGCCCAUGUGAAGCUCUUUCGACGAGUCGAGUUGUUUGGGAAUGCAGCUCUAAAUGGGUGGUAUAUUUCAUCUAAAGCUAAAUAUUGGCCAGAGACCGAUAGCGCACAAGUAGAGUGAUCGAAAGAUGAAAAGCACUUUGGAAAGAGAGUUAAACAGUACGUGAAAUUGUUGAAAGGGAAACGAUUGAAGUCAGUCAUGCUCUUUGGUAUUUA
rnacentral:rRNA from 1 species